GUAACUUGUUGCUAGUUUUUAUCAAUCCAUGUGCAUAUAGUGGAUCAUUCUCAUGCAUGUUUUCCACCCUUUCGUUGCUAUCAAGAAGGUGAUUAAUGUGUGGAGGUGAGUUUUAGAGGUCAACGGAAAUAGUAGCAGAUAAAUGUCAUAAAUACUGUCAAGUGUGUCAUUUUUAGCUGACCUCUUUCUUCUGGUGUUGUAAGCCACUUAGCUGACCUUUACAGAUCUUAGUUUGAUUAUCUGCAGACUCAUUGCCAAUUGAGUUGGACACUUCUCAUGAGUAUAUUGUAAAAUUAGGAGUGUCACAAACUUCAUAGCUUUCCAA
rnacentral:misc_RNA from 1 species